UGGGGAAUUUUGGACAAUGGGCGAAAGCCUGAUCCAGCAAUGCCGCGUGUGUGAAGAAGGCCUUCGGGUUGUAAAGCACUUUUGUCCGGAAAGAAAUCCUUGGCUCUAAUACAGUCGGGGGAUGACGGUACCGGAAGAAUAAGCACCGGCUAACUACGUGCCAGCAGCCGCGGUAAUACGUAGGGUGCAAGCGUUAAUCGGAAUUACUGGGCGUAAAGCGUGCGCAGGCGGUUUGCUAAGACCGAUGUGAAAUCCCCGGGCUCAACCUGGGAACUGCAUUGGUGACUGGCAGGCUAGAGUAUGGCAGAGGGGGGUAGAAUUCCACGUGUAGCAGUGAAAUGCGUAGAGAUGUGGAGGAAUACCGAUGGCGAAGGCAGCCCCCUGGGCCAAUACUGACGCUCAUGCACGAAAGCGUGGGGAGCAAAACAGGAUUAGAUACCCUGGUAGUCCACGCCCUAAACGAUGUCAACUAGUUGUGGGGAUUCAUUUCCUUAGUAACGUAGCUAACGCGUGAAGUUGACCGCCUGGGGAGUACGGUCGCAAGAUUAAAACUCAAAUGAAUUGACGGGGU
rnacentral:rRNA from 1 species